rnacentral:rRNA from 1 species
AGUGAACGCUGGCGGUAGGCCUAACACAUGCAAGUCGAACGGCAGCACAGUAAGAGCUUGCUCUUACGGGUGGCGAGUGGCGGACGGGUGAGGAAUACAUCGGAAUCUACUUUUUCGUGGGGGAUAACGUAGGGAAACUUACGCUAAUACCGCAUACGACCUACGGGUGAAAGCAGGGGCUCUUCGGACCUUGCGCGAUUGAAUGAGCCGAUGUCGGAUUAGCUAGUUGGCGGGGUAAAGGCCCACCAAGGCGACGAUCCGUAGCUGGUCUGAGAGGAUGAUCAGCCACACUGGAACUGGGACACGGUCCAGACUCCUACGGGAGGCAGCAGUGGGGAAUAUUGGACAGUGGGCGCAAGCCUGAUCCAGCCAUACCGCGUGGGUGAAGAAGGCCUUCGGGUUGUAAAGCCCUUUUGUUGGGAAAGAAAAGCAGCAGGUUAAUACCCCGCCGUUCUGACGGUACCCAAAGAAUAAGCACCGGCUAACUUCGUG